UUUGGCCGAAACAUCAGCUGCAACAAAACAACUCCAAGUUUUGCAAAUUCCAUCCCAAAUCUUACACAAGUCUUCAUCCAAUUCACACCAACUUAAACCACACGUGGCUUAACACUUAAGGAUCAUUUGAGCUGCAAAGGGAGCUGAAAAUCACGGUUUUCCUGGAGUAAAGGGGGCCGAAAUUCUGCUUGAACAUCAAACCAAAGUAGCCUCCAGCAAGGAACCAUCGAUAAAAGACCAAUCUCUUCUUCGACAGUGAUGACAGACCAUCUCUAGCGACAUCUCAUCAGCAAACAAAUCCCUUCUUCGCCGGCAGCAUCUCCAACUCUGGCAAAGACCCACUAUCUGGGUCUUCACAUUAUGUGGCAAAAUUUAUUUAUGGAUUCUAGUUUAUACAGCAUAAAUAAAGGUUGAUUUGGAGAGAAAAUUGCACAGCUUCCUAAGUUUUGGGUUUUGGAGAAGACGGUGCAGCACUUGAGGCUGGUUUAAACAAUUUGUUGCAGAUCGUUUCUGUGGCUGACAGUAAGAUGUGCUUGCGAUUGAACUUGUGCAUACUGGAUUCCCCAUCAAACUGGAGUAAAGAGAAAAUAUUCAGCAGUUUGGUCUGGAAAGAGAAUUGGCAACGUGUGGUAUUUUAUGUAUGUCAGUGGAAGUUUUUUGAAUUUUAUCACUCACAGUAAUGUCUUGCUGUAUCCGGAACUGAGUACUACUGAAGAUAUAUCAUUAUUCUGCAAAUCAACAAGUUGCAGUUGUUGGCUAAUGUUGUUACCCAUAUCCAAUGUAUCAUUGAAUGCGUUCUUCCUCAGAAUCCUGUUAAAAGUUAAUGCUAUCAAAAUAAGUUCUUUCAC